CCUACGGGAGGCAGCANUGAGGAAUAUNGGUCAANGGNGGCAACUCUGANCCAGCCAGUCGCGAAGGANGACGGCCNUAUGNGUUGUAAAUUUUAUACAGGAAUAAACNCANGNGUGAAUUUNUGCANGUCCNGUANGAAUAAGGAUCGGCUAAUUCCGUCCCAGCAGCCGCGGUAAUACGGAGGAUCCAAGCUUUAUCCGGAUUUAUNGGGUUAAAAGGGUGCGCAGGCGGAAGAUUAAGUCGGGGGUGAAAUCUUGCAGCUCACCGGUAAAAGUGCCUUAGAUACUGGUUUUCGUGAGUGCGGGAGAAGUAGGCGGAAUUUGGUGUGUAGCGGAGAAAUGCAUAGAUAGGGCAAAGCCCCNCGAUUGAGCAGGCAUCUUACUAAUCCAUGACUGACGGUCANGCAAGAAAGCGUGGGGAUCAAACAGGAUUAGAUCCCUUGGUAGUCCACGCAGUAAACGAUGAUUACUCGUUGUNGGCGAUACNCAGUCAGUGGCGCAGCGAAAGCNUNAAGUNCC
rnacentral:rRNA from 1 species